ensembl:lncRNA
GAAAAGCCUUUAUUGUCAUUGUAUUCGCAUACAACGACAUUUGGAGUGCUGCUCCUUUUGGUGCGACGAGGAACAACAUAUAACACAGCAAUAGUACAACUGGCUAAACAAAAAUAUAUAUUAAGAGUUUAACAAAGUGCGGUGGUAUAGAUUCAAGUACUUCCCUGAGGAACAAUAAAUACAGCAACAGUUCUUCCCUGAGGUGCUUUACAAUAAAUACAGUAACAGUUUUGUUUAUACACAUGUGUAAGGUGACUGAGAUGGGACAUUUGAUGAUGGUGUUGGUUGGAUGGGUCCUAGUACAGUCAUGAGUGUACAAGAAGUAUAGUAGUGGGCUCAGCACACAGCCUUGUGGAGAGCCAGUGCUGAGCGGAGGAGAGGUGGGGGCCGAGUUUCAGUUUGUGAGGAAGUCUUUUAUCCAGGUGCAGAUGGAGGGGGAGAGGACUAGUACAGUUGGUUUGCUGACUAGUAUGUCAGAGAUGAUGGUAUUAAAAGCUGAGCUGUAGUCUAUGAAGAGCAAUCUUACAUAGGUUCCUCGGAGUUCCAGGUGGCUCAGUGCGGUGUGGAGGAAUGGCCCUUUCUGAGCCAACACGGUGCUUAUCAGAUGGACUACUCUUCAACGACUGGUAUCUGUUGUGACCAUAGCCGGUGAAGUAAUGGAACACAUGCUGACGCAAAUGAAGUAUUACAGAUGACUAACUAUGUGCUGUGCUGUGUAGCCUGCAGGAGAUGGGAAGGAGCUGCACUCAAGGUGUGUAUAUAGUGGCUAUCCCUUCGAGCAGUGGUUUGCCUGCGAGGCAUCUGCCGUGGAGCUGAAGAAGAACGUCAUCCAACCGCUAUCUGUCCUUCGUGUAUGACGGAUGUCAACACACAGGGCUGCUGCUGUCCCAUUCUGAGAAGAACGAUCUGAGCCACAAGACCAAGUUCUCCCCAGCGACGACGCACUUUCAACCAAACGGCAUCUUCCUGGGGGACAACCAUGUCAUCCUCUAUGGCUCUGAGGUCAUCCUCAGACUGGGGCUUUACCUUUGAGAAAAUCUUCUCCCUGCAAGCGGAGCUGGUGACUGAUGUGCUGAGCUGCAACUACAGCUGUAGGUUGGUGCUGCUGACCAAUCAGGAGAGUAUUUACCUCAUGAAAGCAGGUCUGGAGAGGUUUGCCUGGUUGAAUGAGACCCUGAUAUCCAACACCUUUCUGCUGUGCGAUCACAUGGGGUCCUCAUGGCUGUCGAGCUGGAAUCAACUAAACCCAGCAGCCUGAGAUACAGGAUCAUCUCCAUCAACAAACUUAUCCAG